AUCAACUGGCUAUACGGGCUUCACAAUAAAGAGUAUUUUAAAAUUCGUCAGAUCUCGGAAGCAAAGCAGGGUCAGGCCUGGUUAGUACUUGGAUGGGAGACCGCCUGGGAAUACAGGUGCUGUAGGCU
rnacentral:rRNA from 1 species